rnacentral:rRNA from 1 species
CCUACGGGUGGCAGCAGUGGGGAAUAUUGGACAAUGGGCGAAAGCCUGAUCCAGCCAUGCCGCGUGUGUGAAGAAGGCCUUCGGGUUGUAAAGCACUUUCAGUGGGGAAGAAAGCCUUGGGGCUAAUACCCUCGAGGAGGGACAUCACCCACAGAAGAAGCACCGGCUAACUCCGUGCCAGCAGCCGCGGUAAUACGGAGGGUGCGAGCGUUAAUCGGAAUUACUGGGCGUAAAGCGCGCGUAGGCGGUCUGAUAAGCCGGUUGUGAAAGCCCCGGGCUCAACCUGGGAACGGCAUCCGGAACUGUCAGGCUAGAGUGCAGGAGAGGAAGGUAGAAUUCCCGGUGUAGCGGUGAAAUGCGUAGAGAUCGGGAGGAAUACCAGUGGCGAAGGCGGCCUUCUGGACUGACACUGACGCUGAGGUGCGAAAGCGUGGGUAGCAAACAGGAUUAGAUACCCUUGUAGUC